rnacentral:tRNA from 1 species
GCCCGGGUGGUGAAACUGGUAGACACAAGGGACUUAAAAUCCCUCGGCUUCGCGGCCGUGCCGGUUCGAUUCCGGCCCCGGGCACCA